AUGGCGAUUCGACCCACAAUGCACUGCGGCCAUAGCGAAAAAGACCGAUAUACGCAGUGUCUACCGUAAUUUAUAUAUUUACAGUUGUGAUUCGAAUAAAUACGAGUAAAGUCAUUAAUUGACCGAGUAGUCGUUUUUUUAAAAAAAAAUCUUCUCCUGUCUGCUAUGUUGGUUGAAUGCAUAAUCUAUAAGACAUAAACGGCUAUGAUAAAUAUCCAUUAUCGAAUAGAAGCGGUCACCUGAUUAGCGCGUGACGUGUGGGUAACAUAGAGUCAGAGAAAACGGCGUCGCAACGCUAAGUUGGAGUAUAUGAUCCCUGCAUGACUUUUACGGAUCUGUUGGGCAAGCCCGCAACUUUAAAAAAUAGUUUGUAAGAGUAGAGCGCGAUGGAGUACCAACUCCCUACGCUGCUUGUAAUACGUGCAAAGUCAUAGUCAAAUAUGCACCUGACUCGGGGACGAUUGGCGUGCAGAAACACACUUGUAGCAGCAGAUCGCUUGGUAAACGAGUGCAGCCAAAAUAACUGGUUUUGUGAAGUGAGAAGUUCCAGAAAUUAUGAAGAUCAGGCUCAGGAACACGAUGGCUCGCAUGUGGGUGCAAGAUUUGAGACCUUUUGUUUUUAUAGAAGCACAAGGAUUCAUCGACAUGGCGAAGGAGUUGCUUCACAUCGCUGCGACUUAUGGGACCAGCAUUGAGAUCAAUGGGGUCUUAGCGAGUGCACAGAGUGUUUCUCGCCAUCCAGAGAAGGAUUAUGAAAAAAUAAACAAAUUUGUAAUAGAACGGCUCCAACAGGUUUGCCCUCUGGAAAGCCCUACAACUGCGAUAUAUUUAAGGAAGAGCAUAUCUCUGAUACCCUUUGCGUGUUUCUUGCUUGGAUCUUCCCAAAGAAUGAAAAGGGAGGUCCGCCGUGGGAUUCACCCCAAUCCUCCCAAAGGAUGACUCAGUAUUAUAUACAGAGGCUGGGGACAGCAGCCCCCCCCCCCAUGGAACCGCGAUGGACCAUGUGUGGGAGAUGGGAGGGGGGACAGUGCGGCUGCACAGUAGAGUGGUACACAGACUAAUGUCAGGCACGUGUUUCUGUUUAAUAAAGUAUAAGAAAUUAAGUUUCAGACAUAAUUGUUCCAUAUAAAUCUGAAUGUAAACCCCACAACACAAACAACUUAGGAAUAAGAUACCAUUACUAUAUUAAGAUUCAACAUUUCAACACAAAUACUUUUACUGUCACUGUUUGGAUCCCCAGCUUUGUGUGCAUUUUUGAAUGUUAUAAAAAGAAAAUAACUAAUUAAAUAAAUUAUCAAACUACCUACAUAUAUUUUCUGUCGUUCUGCUGAUUUUUGUUCUUUUUGAAGAAACACAGAGACUCACAGGAUGCAGCUGCCAGCAGCAGCAGACACAGAGAUCAUGGUCGGUGCUGAAGAUGAUCUGCUGUGAGCUGCUCUUCACCAUGUUCCUUAGGAACUACUGAGGGUUUAAAGAGAGUCAACAAUGUGCUGUUUAAAUGAGGAGGGAGGAAGGAAACAGGGACUCAUUUGCAUAGGGGUGGAGUAUGAAAUGACCUUUGUAGUAUUAAAGGACAGGAGGAGUGAUACUACAGUGCAGGUGCUGAUGUUCCGGAAGAUUUACACACUAGGAGUGAUACUUGUGGAAUGGUUUACCAGCCUACGUU